GCCCCUCACUAGCUCAGUAGGUAGGGCUUGAGACUCUUAAUCCUAGGGUUGUGGGUUUGAUUCUCCACAUUGGGUG